rnacentral:tRNA from 1 species
CAAAACAUAGCUUAACAAAAGCAUCUCGCUUACACCGAGAAACUACCUGUUACACCCAGGUUGUUUUGA